rnacentral:rRNA from 1 species
UACAGAGGCCUCGAGCGUUAGGCGGAAUCACUGGGCUUAAAGCGUGUGUAGGUGGAUGCCUAAGUACCUUGUGAAAUCCCACGGCUUAACCGUGGAACUGCUUGGUAUACUGGCGGUCUUGAGCCAGCUAGGGGCUACCGGAACAAAUGGUGGAGCGGUGAAAUGCGUAGAUAUCAUUUGGAACGCCAAUGGUGAAAACAGGUAGCUGGGGCUGUGCUGACACUGAGACACGAAAGCCAGGGGAGCAAACAGG